CACGUAGGGGGCAAGCGUUGUCCGGAAUCAUUGGGCGUAAAGAGCUCGUAGGCGGCUCAGUAAGUCGGGUGUGAAACCCUCAGGCUCAACCUGGGGACGCCACCCGAUACUGCUGUGGCUAGAGUCCGGAAGAGGCGAGUGGAACUCCUGGUGGUAGCGGUGGAAUGCGCAGAUAUCAGGAAGAACACCAACGGCGAAGGCAGCUCGCUGGGACGGUACUGACGCUGAGACGCGAAAGCGUGGGAGCGAACAGG
rnacentral:rRNA from 1 species